rnacentral:misc_RNA from 1 species
UCUCCGUAGGUGAACCUGCGGAGGGAUCAUUACCGAGUGAGGGCCCUCGCGCCCGACCUCCCAACCCUUUGUUGUACCCAACCGUUGCCUCGGGGGGCGACCCUGCCGUUCGCGGCGUGGGGCCCCCGGAGCCCAUCAAACCCUGCGUAACUAAGUCGUCGGAGUUUAAACAAAUUAAACAAAACUUUCAACAACGGAUCUCUUGGUUCGGGCAUCGAUGAAGAACGCAGC